CACGUAGGGUGCGAGCGUUGUCCGGAAUUAUUGGGCGUAAAGAGCUCGUAGGCGGUGUGUCGCGUCGGCCGUGAAAACCUGCAGCUUAACUGUGGGCUUGCGGUCGAUACGGGCAUCACUGGAGUUCGGCAGGGGAGACUGGGAUUCCUGGUGUAGCGGUGAAAUGCGCAGAUAUCAGGAGGAACACCGGUGGCGAAGGCGGGUCUCUGGGCCGAUACUGACGCUGAGGUGCGAAAGCGUGGGGAGCAAACAGG
rnacentral:rRNA from 1 species